rnacentral:rRNA from 1 species
UACGGGAGGCAGCAGUGGGGAAUAUUGCACAAUGGGCGAAAGCCUGAUGCAGCUAUGCCGCGUGUAUGAAGAAGGCCUUAGGGUUGUAAAGUACUUUCAUCGGGGAGGAAAAACAAAACUAAUAAUUUUAUUUCUUGACGUUACCCGAAAAAGAAGCACCGGCUAACUCCGUGCCAGCAGCCGCGGUAAUACGGAGGGUGCUAGCGUUAAUCAGAAUUACUGGGCGUAAAGAGCACGUAGGUGGUUUUUUUAAAGUCAGAUGUGAAAUCCCUGGGCUUAACCUGGAACUGCAUUUUGAAACUGAAAUACUAGAGUAUCGUAGAGGGAGGUAGAAUUCUAGGUGUAGCGGUGAAAUGCGUAGAUAUCUGGAGGAAUACCUGUGGCGAAAGCGGCCUCUAAACGAAUACUGACACUGAGGUGCGAAAGCGUGGGGAGCAAACAGGGAUUAGGAU